CGCGAACGAGCUAACCAGCAUUCACUUAUCCUUUGGACGUUGAGCUGACUGGUUGACAUCGCUCCUGACUACUCCUCAAAAAUAAGCUCCAGAUUUUUGGGCCUAGCAAGAAGAUGUAGAGGACCGCAUAAAAUGUAACAGGUACACAAUUAAUUAGUAAAGCUAUUGAACAGGUAAGAAAAAGCCAAUUUAUUAAUAAUUACGUAUUAAAGAAAAACACAGAACACACAACAAAUCAUAAAAAACAUCAAAUACAUUAAGUAUCAAUUACAUUUUCAUUUUUAUGUAUCUAUCUGCGUGAAAAUUUUCAAAUAUGUAUCUCUGAAUAUGCAUAUACUUAGUAUGUAUCUAUAUACUAGGUGUGUCCAUAGAUACAUAUCAUAUACUAUAUACUAGGCGUGUCCAUAGAUACAUACUAUGUAUAUGCAUAUUACUAUACAUAGAUACAUACAUCUUUGCGUAUGUACAUACAAAUAUCUCUGAAAAUUGAUGCACAGAUAUAAUGAAAAUUUUAUUGCCAGUAAUAUGCAGUGAUUUUCAAAUAUGUAUCUGUGCACAAUCUUUCAGGUAGGUAGAGAAAUACUUAUGUAUACACUAGGUGUGUCUAGAUACAUGCUAUAUACAACAGGUGUGUGUAUAGAUACACACUAUAUACAUAUAUAAAUGCAUAUUACAUGCAUAGAUACACACCAUUCCGUAUAUGUGCACAUAAAUCCAUCUGAAAAUUGAUGCGCAGUUAAUACAAAUGAAAAUUUUACUGCAUAAGAUAUGCAAUGAUUUUCAGAUGUGUAUCUGCGCAGAAUUUUUCAGGUGGGUCCACAGAUACAUACACUUUCUAGAAUGUAUCUAGACUUUAGGCUUUUACAUACUAUUUCGCAUAUGUAUAUACAAAUCCAUUUGGAAAUUGAUGCGCAGUUAAAUACAAAUGAAAAUUUUAUUACAUAUGUAAUAAUUUUCAGAUGUGCACCUGCUCAGAAUUUUCAGGUGGGUCCAUAGAUACAUAUACUUUUUAGAAUAUAUCUAUAUACUAGGCGUGUCCAGAUAUAUACUUCUUCGAAUAUGUACACAUAAAUCCAUCUGCAAAUUGAUGCGCAGUUAAAUACAAAUGAAAAUUUUACUGCACAAGAUUUUCAGAUGUGUAUCUGCGCAGAAGUUUCAGGGGGUCCACAGAUACAUAUACUUUUUAGAAUGUAUCUAGACUUUAGGUGUAUCUACAUACUAUUUCGCAUAUGUAUAUACAAAUCCAUCUGCAAAUUGAUGCGCAGUUAAAUACAAAUGAAAAUUUUAUUACAUAUGUAAUAAUUUUCAGAUGUGCACCUGCGCAGAAUUUUCAGGUGGGUCCAUAGAUACAUAUACUUUUUAGAAUGUAUCUAUACACUAGGCGUGUCAAGGUAUAUUCUUCUUCGUAUAUGUCCAUAUAAAUCUAUCUACGAAUUGAUGCGCAGUUAAAUACAAAUGAAAAUUUUAUUACAUAUGUAAUAAUUUUCAUAUGUGUAUCUGCGCAGAAUUUUUCAGGUGGGUCCACAGAUACAUAUACUGGUUCGUAUAUAUCUAUAUACUAGGCGUGUCUAGAUAUAUACUUCUACGUAUAUGUACAUAUAACUCCAUCCACGAAUUGAUGCGCAGUUAAAUACAAAUGAAAAUUUUAUUACAUAUGUAAUGAUUUUCAGAUGUGCACCUGCGCAGAAGUUUCGGGUGGGUCCAUAGAUACAUAUAUGGUUUCGUAUAUAUCUACAUACUAGGCGUGUCUAGAUACACACUAUUCCGUAUAUGAACAUACAAAUCCAUCUGAAAAUUCAUGUAGUGAAGCAUACAAAUGAAAAUUUUAUUACAUAUGUAAUAAUUUUCAGAUGUGCACCUGCGCAGAAUUUUCAGGUGGGUCCAUAGAUACAUAUACUUUUUAGAAUGUAUCUAUACACUAGGCGUGUCAAGGUAUAUUCUUCUUCGUAUAUGUCCAUAUAAAUCCAUCUGCAAAUUGCUGCGCAGUUUAAUACAAAUGAAAAUUUUAUUACAUAUGUAAUAAUUUUCAUAUGUGUAUCUGCGCAGAAUUUUUCAGGUGGGUCCACAGAUACAUAUACGGUUUCGUAUAUAUCUACAUACUAGGCGUGUCUAGAUACACACUAUUCCGUAUAUGAACAUACAAAUCCAUCUGAAAAUUCAUGUAGUGAAGCAUACAAAUGAAAAUUUUAUUACAUAUGUAAUAAUUUUCAGAUGUGCACCUGCGCAGAAGUUUCAGGUGGGUCCAUAGAUACAUAUACUGUUUCGCAUGUAUCUAUACACUAGGCGUGUCUAGAUAUAUACUUCUUCGUAUAUGUACACAUAAAUCCAUCUGCAAAUUGAUGCGUAUCUGCGCAGAAGUUUCAGGGGGUCCAUAGAUACAUAUACCUUUUAGUAUAUAUAUAUAUUCGUAUAUGCAUCUUCUUCGUAUAUCCAUCAGCGAAUUGGCGUACUGAUACAUACAAAUGCAAAUUUUAUUGCUUAUGUAAUGAUUUUCAGAUAUGUAUCUGUGCACAAUUUAAGGGUUGUUCCCAGAUACAUAUACUGAUUAGUAUGUAUCUAGAUACAUACAACUUCGUAUAUGAUUGAUUGCACCCUCUUGAAGCUUGCGCAUAGAUAAUUUUCACACAGGUAGAUACACAUUUAUACUCAUGCGUACAAAAACGCACCCUCUCUCAGUCAGAUACAUGCAAAACUGAAUUGAAAAUGUUCCAUUAGCUCUUUGGCUAAUGGAAUAUUUGUUCAGAACAGAACAACUCGCCGUUCGUGAUGCUUUGCUUUAAAUAGUGAAAAUACUGACUUUGCGUCCUGAGUCCAGCCCGACCCCUUUUUCACUACUCAAAGCAAAGGCAACGGUGCGCUGUUCUGUUAAAAAUAUCAGCAUAAGCUGAAAAUUCAUUGUACAUACACACAAAGUGAAGCUUGGAGCUAGUGAAACGCAAUUAAAGAUAAUGUGGUUCAGAAAUUUGCAACUUAAACGAUAUCCCGCACUUGUCGCUGGCUAUCGUGCAAGUCAUCGUUAAUGUUGCCGGAUUCUGUGACCUUAAAAAGCAACAAAGUGGACGUUAAAAGAAUAUUAUACAAUAAAAAAGUCGAUUGAAAAGUUGGUACUUAUAUCCCGAAGGCCACCUCCUGCAUCUACAAGCAAUCAAUCGCUUACCCUAGAAUAUGUCUUAAUUAUAUUUUUCUGCUCCUUAGUUUUCUGACAGAGUGAACUGAAUCUGAAGCCAUCGGCCUAUGCAGCUAUACAGCGCAGCGUGGAAUGAGUGCGUCAUCAAAAGAAACUGAUUUUUAACACACAAAAGUUUUUAAGUAAUAUUUAUAUAUGUAUAUAUUUAAAAUAUUUAUGUUCAUAUUAUAUUGAUAUAACAAUAGUUUUCAUUUAUGUUAAUAGUUGAUAAGAAUUUAAUAAAAAUAUAAAAAGCAAAUAAAAACAUCUGUUAACAGAAACAUUGUGACACCAACUAAA